GAAAACCUGAAAAUUACUGUUGGAUCAAAAAUAGACAUCCGAGAUUCAUCCACGUCACCAUGAGUAAAAAAAUUACUCGCAGAUUUGCUUAUGAGUAAAAAGUAAUUUUUUUACUCAUGGUGACGUGGAUAAAUCUCGAACGUCCAUUUUUCAAUCCAAAGACAGUUUCCAAGUUUCU
rnacentral:pre_miRNA from 1 species